rnacentral:lncRNA from 1 species
CAUGUAAUUUACUUGUGACUUUCAGCAGUGAACAAACCAUCAAAAUGCAAGAGAUCAUACGUUUAUGGGUCCAUUGAGAAUGCCUCACCUCUAAGGAUAGAAGAUCACAGAUAAAUGACAUAUGCAACACAAAGGCCGCAAAUAAAAUAAUUUUGAAAAAAGCAAAAGUGAAAGAGUUAGAUAUUAGGGCAUGUUUGGUUCACCUAUUUUAGACUAUGGAAUCGGAAUGGAAUUCAUUGAUUCCGAUAGUUGCCAUUUGUUUUAUAGGAAUCGGAUUCCAAUUCCUAUUCCACUUCGGAAUGGGAAUGGCCAAAUCCAUUUAUGAUCCAAUCCAGCUUUGAAUUCUAGAUUGGCUCAUUUCAAAGUAAACUAUUCAAAAUCCUUUCUCACCAACACCUACCUACUCUCCCUUCAUCACUUUCCUCUCUCUUAAUCAAAACCCUCUCUAAAAAAUUUUAAAUUUUCAUUCCAAUUUCCAUUCCAAUAAUAAACCAAAUAUUUUUGGAUGAUUCGUCAUUCCAUUUCCAAUUCCAAAGCAAUCCAAUUCCAUUUCCCAUUCCUAUUCCAAUCAUGAACCAAACAUGCCCUUAGUGUACAGUUGGCUCUAUCC